rnacentral:sRNA from 1 species
ACCCUGUCCCCCGCGCCGCUUCCCGAGGCCACUCAUCGGGUCACCUCCGCCGGGGGCGCCCGCCAGCACGGGCGUGAUUCUGCAUUUUUUCCUGACAGGCUAGGUGUGGAGCCGCCCUCCGCAGCCCACCCCGGCCCAGGAUGUGGCUGGGCCGCCGGGCCCUGUGCGCUCUGGUCCUUCUGCUCGCCUGCGCCUCGCUGGGGCUCCUGUACGCGAGCACCCGGGACGCGCCCGGCCUCCGGGUACCUCUUGCGCCGUGGGCGCCCCCGCAAAGCCCCCGCAGGCCCGAGCUGCCAGAUCUUGCUCCUGAGCCCCGCUACGCACACAUCCCGGUCAGGAUCAAGGAGCAAGUAGUGGGGCUGCUGGCUUGGAACAACUGCAGUUAGCUGAGGGCUGCCUCUGCCACAAGAGAGCAGGAGUUCCAGGCCUUUCUGUCGAGGUACCAGCUUGAAAGAAGCGCAUGACUCCACAGGGGGAGAGCA